AUGAAAAGCCUAUCUUGGGCACUUGCAGCAUCUAAGAACUUUUAUAGGUGGGUCCCUAGAGAUGGUAAGAUUAUUGCCUUCUGGCAUGAUAUAUGGAUUGGGGACUGUUCUCUAAAAACUGCAUUUUGGGACCUGUUUGAUACAUGUCAACAGCAAGAGGCCACUCUUGCACAGGUCUGGGUAGGAGGUGAACUCCAACUCACUUUUAGGAGGUGUGUUGACGAGGGGGCUCUGAUUAGAUGGGAUGAUCUCACUAAUAUAGUUAAACAGGUUGUGUUGUCUGACUCUUCAGACCAGCCUGUGUGGAUGCUGAAUUCUUCCAGCAAAUAUUCUGUUAAGUCUUUUUACAAAAUGAUCAACUUUGGGGGGAUACCUGCUGAGAUUAAAGAUGAUAUAUGGAAAAUUAAAAUCCCUCCCAAUAUCCAUGUUUUCCUGUGGUUGAUUUAUUACAAUAAAAGCUUGACCAGAGAUAAUCCGGCCAAGCGCAGACAUGUAGAGGAUAAGACCUGUGUCUUUUGUAGUGAACCAGAAACAAUUCAACAUCUCUUUUUUGAUUGUAUUGUUGCUAGACAAGUUUGGGAGCUGGUGGCUGAAAGCUUUAACAUUACUAAACUUGAUUCUUUUGCUAUGCUAUCUUGUUUUUGGAAGAGAAGGAAACAUUGUGAAGCUCUAAACAUAACUAUUGCUGCUGCCUUGUGGAGCUUAUGGCGUUUGCGAAAUGACUUUGUUUUUCAGGGGCGAAGGUGGCGAAGUAUACGUUGUGCUUUGGAUCUGUUGGGCGCAACGAUCAGGCAAUGGAAAAUCCUAUGUUCAGAGGCUCAAGGUGCGCUUCUUCUCCGGUGCUUAAGGCUGUUGGACCACCGAAGAGGGGAAUUGAUUAGGAUCGCCUGGUGCUAA
rnacentral:rRNA from 1 species